CUCAAACUCCCCAGCAGCAUUUAAUAUCUUUUCAUAUGUGUACAUUUAAUUUUGGUCAUCUGUCUGAAGUCUGCCCAUCUAGUGCCUGACACAAGGUUCACUCUUUUAAGGCUUCUGAACUUUCACUGGAUUUUGAGAUAUCUGGCGAUUUCAGAUAAGGGCCUCAACUGUUUUCCAGGCAUUUGGUUGUAAACGUACAAUCAGUGGAAUUGAAAAUACCUAAUCAACAACUGGAACUGCAGAAAAACAAGUGCAGAGGAGAGACUAUUGUCUGCCUUUUCCGUAGUGACCUUGCUUGUUCAUAGUGCCACGGACCGUGACGCGCCACUAGAGGAGCAUCCGGGAUUCUUUCGGAUUCCGGGGUUAGUUGCACUGAACUCGAGAGAUCAUCAUUUGCCAAGUAGAAGAAUCUAUUAGAGCUAAGCAGUUUUACACAGAUGACAGACACUGGACAACA